AGGGUUUGAUUAUGGCUCAGGACGAACGCUGGCGGCGUGCCUAACGCAUGCAAGUCGAGCGGGGUAAGCUUGUCACUUCGGUGACGGGUGAGCCCAGCGGCGAACGGGUGAGUAACACGUGGGUAAUCUGCCCAGAAGUUCGGGAUAGCCCUGGGAAACUGGGGGUAAUACCGGAUAAGGUCACCGGGUUGCAUGAACUGGUGAGCAAAGGGGCAACUCGCUUUUGGAUGAGCCCGCGGCCCAUUAGCUAGUUGGUAGGGUAAAGGCCUACCAAGGCGACGAUGGGUAGCCGGUCUGAGAGGAUGGCCGGUCACACUGGGACUUGAGACACGGCCCAGAAGUUCUACAGAAGGCAGCUUAGCAGAGGAAUCCUGGGCAAUGGGGGAAACCCUGACCCAUGCGUACGCCGCGUGAGCGAAGAAGGGCCUGAGCAUCGCAAAGCUCUGUUCUUUGGGGACGAAUUGUGACGGUACCCAAGGAGGAAGCCCCGAGCUAACUACGUGCCAGCAGCCGCGGUAAUACGUAGGGCGGCGAGGCGGUUGUCCCGGAAUCAUUGAGGCGUAAUAGGGCGAGUAGGAGGCUUAUGCUAAGUCGGGUUUGUGAAACCUCGAGGCUCAACCCCGAGCUUGGCAUCCUGAAACUGCGAAGGCUUGAGGAUCAGAAGAGGAGAGCAGCAAUUCCGCCGGUGUAGCGCUGAAAUGCGUAGAUAUCGGGAGGAAUCACCCAGUGGCGAAGGCUGGCUCUCUGGUCUGCACCUGACGCUGAGUCGCGAAAGCUACGGGGAGCAAACGGGAUUAGAUACCCCGGUAGUCCUAGCCGUAAACGAUGGUUACUAGGUGUGGGGAGGUAUCGACCCGUUCCGUGCCGGAGUUAACGCAUUAAGUAACCCGCCUGGGGUAGUACGGCCGCAAGGUUUGAAACCCAAAGGAAUUGACGGGUCCCCGCACAAGCAGUGAAGCCUGCGGUGUAAUUCCAAGCAACGCGUAGAACCUUACCAGGCCUUGACAUCCCCUGACAGCCUCAGAGAUGAGGUUUGCCGCUUGCGGCCAGGGUGACAGGUGUUGCAUGGUUGUCGUCAGCUUGUGUCGUGAGAUGUUGGGUUAAGUCCCGCAACGAGCGCAACCCCCGUUUUGUGUUGCCAGGGAGUAGAUUCGGGCACUCACAGGAGACUGCCGGAGACAAUUCGGAGGAAGGUGGGGAUGAGGUCAAAUCUUCAUGGCCCUUAUGGCCUGGGUUACACACGCGGUACAAUGGCCUGUACAGAGGGAAGGGAAAGAGCUAUUUGGAGCGAAUGUCACAAAGCAGGUCUCAGUUCGGAUUGCAGGCUGAAACUCGCCUGCAUGAAGCCGGAAUUGCUAGUAAUCGCAGAUCAGCUAUGCUCCGGUGAAUACGUUCUCGGGGAUUGUACACACCGCCCGUCAAACCACGAAAGUCGGCAACACCCGAAGCCGGUGGAGCUAACCCGCAAGGGAGGCAGCCGUCUAAGGUGGGGUCGGUGAUUGGGGUUAAGUAGUAACAAGGUAACC
rnacentral:rRNA from 1 species